AGUCAAUAGAUACCCUGGUAGUCCCAGCUGUAAACGAUGCGCGUUAGGUGUAUCGGUGACCACGAGUCACCGAGGUGCCGAAGGGAAACCGUGAAACGUGCCGCCUGGGAAGUACGGUCGCAAGGCUGAAACUUAAAGGAAUUGGCGGGGGAGCACCACAACAGGUGGAGCCUGCGGUUUAAUCGGACUCAACGCCGGGAAGCUCACCGGAUAAGACAGCUGAAUGAUAGCCGGGUUGAAGACUCUGCUUGACUGGCUGAGAGGAGGUGCAUGGCCGUCGUCAGUUCGUACUGUGAAGCAUCCUGUUAAGUCAGGCAACGAGCGAGACCCACGCCAACAGUUGCCAGCAUGUCCUCCGGGAUGGUGGGGACACUGUUGGGACCGCCUCUGCUAAAGAGGAGGAAGGAAUGGGCAACGGUAGGUCAGCAUGCCCCGAAUUAUCCGGGCUACACGCGGGCUACAAUGGUCAGGACAAUGGGUAUCAACACCGAAAGGUGAAGGCAAUCUCCUAAACCUGUCCUUAGUUCGGAUUGUGGG
rnacentral:rRNA from 1 species